GCAAAGUGUAAUUGCAAUAUCAAACUCUAACUGAUCAAGUUUUCGAGGAUCAAUAACUUUUGAAUAUAAUGCCUUAAAGAAUGAUGAUAAUCGAAGUACAAUUGCAACAACUUGUUUUGAUAAUGACGAUCUUAAAGCUAUUGGAAAGAUAUCUUGCAUCAAUAUGUGACCAUUAUGACUUUUAAGAUUUGAAAGUUUUUGAUCCUUUAGAUAUACACAUCGUGAAAUAUUUGAUGCAUAUCUAUCAGGUACCUUGAUACUUUUCAAAACUCUCAAAAAAUUAUCCUUUUCUCAAGCAGACAUUAUGUAACAUGCAGGGGGCACAUAAAUUCUAUCAUUAGCAAGCAUUUUAGAAUGAAGCUCCUGUCGGAUACCCAUUUCUUUUAAAUCAAGACACGCCUUCAUGUUAUCUUUGCUCUUUCCAUCAAGGUUUAAAAAUGUUCCAAGUAAAUUAUCACAAACAUUCUUCUCUAUAUGCAUGACAUCAAGAUUGUGCCGAAUAAGAUUAUGUUUCCAAUAAGGUAAGUCAAAAAAGAUACUUCAUUUUUUCUAUAAAUGUUUACUGGACUGUUGUGUAGAUGCUAUCUGUGUGUCUUCCUCAUUUUCAUCCUCGAAAUAAUUGUCUGGAUCUUGAAACACCUCUGCAUCUAUAGUACUGAUACUGACUUCCUCUGGUAAUCCUUCGUGCAUUGAGCUUUCAACAUCAUCCCUUCCUCUUUUUUUAGAGGACUUUGAGUGCUUACCAUAGCUGUAAUUGAUGCCAUCCAUUUAUCUAUGAACAUCAAUUCUAGAAGGUGAAAUAGGGGCACAUCCCAAUUCUAUAGUACCAUCAAAUAAAUCUUUCUGAAAUCGAAACGGAUGAUUUGCUUCCAACCAUCGACGAUGUCCUAUGUAACAAAAUUUACCUCCAUAUUUUAAUCAAAUUGAA
rnacentral:lncRNA from 1 species